CCUCUAGCCAUGAUAUUUAUUAGAUCUAGCAUAGUUAGUCUUUUAUAUCUAGGAUCUAACUUGUGGUCUUUGUAUUUGUUGGCUGAUUGACUCAUGGAUAGUUAUAUUUUUUGUUAUCCAUGACUUUUGUAUGGCCUAUGUAUUUUGACUUGACUCUUAUAUAUUGUGACACUUAUGUAUCUGAUAACUCUUUAGUCAUAUUUUGGAU
rnacentral:lncRNA from 1 species